UACGGAGGGUGCAAGCGUUGUUCGGAAUUAUUGGGCGUAAAGGGCAGGUAGGUGGUCUGGUAAGUCUACUGUGAAAUUCCUGGGCUUAACCUAGGCAGGUCAGAUGAUACUGAUUGACUCGAGUAUGGGAGAGGGUAGUGGAAUUUCCGGUGUAGCGGUGAAAUGCGUAGAGAUCGGAAGGAACACCAGUGGCGAAGGCGGCUACCUGGCCUAAUACUGACACUGAGGCACGAAAGCGUGGGGAGCAAACAGG
rnacentral:rRNA from 1 species